ACGGGAGGCAGCAGUGGGGAAUAUUGGACAAUGGGGGAAACCCUGAUCCAGCGACGCCGCGUGAGUGAAGAAGUAUUUCGGUAUGUAAAGCUCUAUCAGCAAGGAAGAAAAUGACGGUACUUGACUAAGAAGCCCCGGCUAACUACGUGCCAGCAGCCGCGGUAAUACGUAGGGGGCAAGCGUUAUCCGGAUUUACUGGGUGUAAAGGGAGCGUAGACGGCAUAGCAAGUCUGAAGUGAAAUGCAUGGGCUCAACCCAUGAACUGCUUUGGAAACUGUUAAGCUAGAGUGCAGGAGAGGUAAGUGGAAUUCCUAGUGUAGCGGUGAAAUGCGUAGAUAUUAGGAGGAACACCAGUGGCGAAGGCGGCUUACUGGACUGUAACUGACGUUGAGGCUCGAAAGCGUGGGGAGCAGACAGGAUUAGAUACCCUGGUA
rnacentral:rRNA from 1 species